CCCCAACUUCUGAAUGUGACCUCGGUCAGGAGCGAGCCCCUUUUUGUUU
rnacentral:rRNA from 1 species